CUGAUGUGUCUUUUAACUACACUGUCAAUAUCACCAGCAUUGAACCAGAAGCUGGCAGUGAAUCAGGUGGAACUGAAGUGACGCUUACUGGCCAUGGGUUUAGUGACAUUCCAGAGGAGAAUUAUGUUUAUUUUGGAAAUAUGCAGUGUGUCGUCACUACUUCAACUUUUAACAUUAUCAAUUGUACAUUGGAAGUGCAGGAUGAGCCUCGGCACAGACGAUCCUCUAACAAAGUGACAGCCACCAUUUGGGUCCGUCAACAACAAUCGUCUAUGGUGGAUAAUUAUACGCUAGAUCCAGCCCUGACUCCAACAAUACAAACUAUGUCGUCAAAUUGCA